CGGCCCGGCGCGAUCCGGACAGGACACGACGCAGCCCGGGGCCGGAAGGGAGAGCGCCCGGGUGACUUCCUUUCGCGGUGCUGAUUCAUGUGCUGCUGCCUUUGCGGCCUUCCUCUUUGUGACUUCCCCCUUUGUGGGAGGGAGCUGAAGAGGUGGCAUUCCUGCCUCCCUGACUCACCCACAGGAAAAUGUCAGAGCACCCAGAGGGACUGCACAGUGGCCAGUGGCUGGUGCGGGGGCUGCAGCCAUCUCACUUCCCAGCCUGGUCAGAUGGGUGGAUUAACUGACAGCUGACAGCCCUGAGCAUGUGGAGCAUCAUGCUGAGUAGCAUUUACAGGCCUGAAGGGUGGGAACACCUGGCUCUAAAUUCAAAACAGAUUGAGCAAAGAAAAGUUAAGCAGUUAUCAACACCAGAAAGUUGUACAAUGUCAUCACAGCACCUCCACUUGGCUCAGUGUGUCCAAAAGGAGCCACUCGAGGACAUCUUCAGGGACAAUGCCUGCUGGAAGUCUGGCCACCUUCAUCACAGCACCUCCCCCCGCAUUCCUGUGACUCGGUUUCCACAGCACUCUUUAAGCUCUUUUUGGCCCAUGGGCCUGGUUUUGGGGUGUGGAGGCUGAAUUAGGAACAGAGCUUGGCCUUGGGGUCUGAAGAAGUGUGGUGUGGAUGUGAACGUGGCCGCCCUGAGCUGGAGGAUGAAGUGAGGUGCGCAGAGGAAGGCCUGGCGGUGGGGCCUGGGGGCACCUGCUUCUCUCUGCCCUGGGAGAGGGUGGGCAGGUUGGGACUUUGGAUGACCAGUAACGUCUGAGAAGCUCUUUCUCACUUCACUGCCCACUCCAUCCCUGGAAAGGCCUGUAGAAUAAAUCCCACACUUUCAGUCCCUGACCCCACGCUCAGUGCUUCAGUCCAAUCUAAUUACCUGCCAGGUCCCUGAACACACCUGUGUGGUCCCUGAAACCCCUCCUGCCUGCCCACACAUUUCCCAUCCUGAAGGGCCCAAUCCAAAUGUUGUCCCCUCAUGUGCCCGUCAUCUCUGCUACGUCCCCAGCUGGUAGGGAGCUGUCCCUUCCGGGCCCUAGUGUGGUACUCUACACAGGAAUGUGUCCUGUGAGUUGUGUCAGGUGUAGAUGAAGGCCUCCCAGCUCCCUGGCUGUGUGGCUGUGGCUUGCUCAGCC